AAAAAAAAAAAAAAAAGCUUAUUUGUGACUUGUACAAAACUCGUUUCCUCAAUUCAGGUUUCUUUCAGCUCAAAUGUCAUUUCAAGUCUUGAAAUUAGUACCCUGCCCCAUCAUUUUUAAAAAUCCCUUAUCUUGCAUUUUCUUCUAGCAUUACCACAGCUUAUAUAUUUGGUUCAUUUGCCAUUGACUGCUUCCCCACUAGAAUAUAAGUUCCAUUAGGGCAGGGACUUUAUUUUGUUCACUGCUAUAUUCUCAGUACUUAAAACAAUGCCUUGUAUCAAUUAUAUUUUCAUUUUUUUUAAUGUCCUUCCCGGAAAUGCUAUGCCCUAUAAAUGGCCAACAUUACCAAACUUUUUGUCUUACCGUUGUUAACCUGAUUUGUUAGUAUUGGAAAUUAUCGUAUGCCUUACUAUCUCAUGGAUUACUUGAGUCUGUUUACUAACUUCCAGUUUUUAAACUUGACUGAUAAAAAUCACCGGAGGUACUUGAGAAAUAUAGAAAAACAUAAGCCUCAUCUCUAGGAAUUAAAAUGGCAGGGAAAUGCUCCAAGUAAUGGGGCUUUAAUAUCUCUUUCAUUUACCUGAAUAAUUAAUAUAGAGGUUAAUUCCACUGUUAUAAAUAAUACAGUAAUGCUUAAAUGAAAAACUGGUUUCUGUAACUAUAUGGCUACUUAGGAAAUAUAAUUGAUACUUUGCGAAGAGAUAUGCAGAGAUGUGGUAUAUAAUAGGAAAAUAUAAAACAUUCUGAUUUGUCUAUUGCUUUACCUUUCUUAUGAACCUUCUUCAUUAUUAUUUUUUAAAUUAGAAGUGAAGUCUUGCUAUAUUGCUCCAGGCUGGUCUCAAACACCCAUGCUCAAAGCCGUCC
rnacentral:lncRNA from 1 species